rnacentral:lncRNA from 1 species
CAGCCGGUUUCCGAAACGUUAUUCAAAUCUUCGAUCAUCUAAUCGAGCUGUUAGAUUUGAUCAACUGUUAACCAGUGACGAGUUUCUCAAACGUCGAUCAUCUUAAAAUUAUAUGAUCGUAGAAAAUCGAUUAUCUGACAUACGAUUUGGUAUCGAUACUGUCACAAUCGGCUGUCAUCCUUCAAAAUUUCAUUUUAUAACCAAAAAAUUUCAAUCCAUAGUAAAUAACUACAUAAUUUAUAUAAUUAAAAAAUAUAUUAAAAAUGAGCAAUACAAACGGAAAUCCUCCACGCAAAAAUUAUACUGAGAGAGAGAGAGAAAUGUUUGCUGUUGGAAAUAAUUGGAAAAUACAAGCAUAUUAAAUUGAAAACAAAUAAUGUACCAAUGCUAUGUCCACCAACAAAAACAAUGAAACCUGGGAAAAAAUAGCGCUGAAUUUCCCAGAACUCCCAAGCAGCUGAACACUGCAUAUAUAAACUUAAAAAGGGUCACUAGCCAAAAAGUAGCAGAGGAAAAUAUUCAAAAAUAUAAUGAGCAGAAGGUUUUGGACCAGUUGAAGAGAGACCAAACUGCGGACAAAAAAGACAUACUUGCAACAGGUGGUGGCACAUUUAGGCCUCGUCUCACAGAUGUAGGGGCACAAAUGUUGAGUUUGAUUGGCAAUCAAAUCCAACCUUUACCCAACAGUUGUGACAGUGCAUCUGGUUUCUUCACAUCUGUUGCACAAGACAGUCAAGUGGAAGUAGAUUACCUACAAUUGGAAGACACAUAGCAGACGUCCAAUGUACCCUCUACUUCCACUGUGCUGCUCAGUACACCCACGACAACUGCUGUCCUGCCCAAGAAGAAAGCCAAGAUGUCUCAGGCUCGUUCAAAAAAUAAAAAAGUAAAAGAUAUAGGGAGCGAAACCCUUAAUGUAUCUUUUACAAAAAAAAUUGAAACAGCAAGACUAGAAAAAAGAAGUAAGAUAGUAUUUUUCAACAAGAAAAAAAGAAAUUUUAGAAGUAGAGCUUCAAAUAAAAAAAUUCGAUCUCAAUAAAUUAUUCGGUAAUAGUGGUUAGGUAUGUACCUAAUAAAGUAAUUUUAAAUAAAAAUUGUAAUUUCUUUAAAUAAUAAAAUUAAUAAAAAAUGU